rfam:Sphingomonas sp. Leaf34 contig_2, whole genome shotgun sequence.
CGAGCGGGCCGGGCCCCUCUGACAAUUUCUCUCGGGUUAUUGUGAUGUCGGACCGCAUCG